AACUUUUGACAAUGUCUCGCAAGCAACUUUUGGCAACGGAUCACUUGGCUCUCGCAUCGAUGAAGAACGCAGCGAAAUGCGAUAAGUAAUGUGAAUUGCAGAAUUCAGUGAAUCAUCGAAUCUUUGAACGCACCUUGCGCUCCUUGGUAUUCCGAGGAGCAUGCCUGUUUGAGUGUCAUUAAAUUCUCAACCUUCCAACUUUUAUUAGCUUGGAUAGGCUUGGAUGUGGGGGUUGCAGGCUUCAUCAAUGAGGUCAGCUCUUCUUAAAUGCAUUAGCGGAACUUUUGUGGACCGUCUAUUGGUGUGAUAAUUAUCUACGCCGUGGAUGAGAAACAGCUUUAUCAAGUUCAGCUUCUAACCGUCCAUUGACUUGGACAAUUUUGACAAUUUGACCUCAAAUCAGGUAGGACUACCCGCUGAACUUAAGCAUAUCAAUAAGCGGAGGCU
rnacentral:misc_RNA from 1 species